GACGAACGCUGGCGGCGUGCUUAACACAUGCAAGUCGAACGGAAAGGCCCUGCUUUUGUGGGGUGCUCGAGUGGCGAACGGGUGAGUAACACGUGAGUAACCUGCCCUUGACUUUGGGAUAACUUCAGGAAACUGGGGCUAAUACCGGAUAGGAGCUCCUGCUGCAUGGUGGGGGUUGGAAAGAUUCGGCGGUUGGGGAUGGACUCGCGGCUUAUCAGCUUGUUGGUGGGGUAGUGGCUUACGAAGGCUUUGACGGGUAGCCGGCCUGGGCGGGUGACCGGCCACAUUGCGACUGAGAUACGGCCCAGACUCCUACGGGAGGCAGCAGUGGGGAAUAUUGCACAAGGGGCGGAAGCCUGAUGCAGCAACGCCGCGUGCGGGAUGACGGCCUUCGGGUUGUAAACCGCUUUCGCCUGUGACGAAGCGUGAGUGACGGUAAUGGGUAAAGAAGCACCGGCUAACUACGUG
rnacentral:rRNA from 1 species